AGGCAGCAAGCCCACAGACUGCCGCUGCAGCUCCUGUGUAACCGUCCUCCCUCCUCCCCAUGUUCCAUAGCUGCCUCCUCACCCAGACACCCAAGAA